rnacentral:rRNA from 1 species
GUAAGCUGAGCUGUGAUGACGAGGGAAUUAUAGUACCGAAGUCUUUGAUUCCACACUGCCAAGAAAAGCCUCUAGCGAGAUGCUAGGUGCCCGUACCGCAAACCGACACAGGUAGGCGAGGAGAGAAUCCUAAGGUGAGCGAGUGAACUCUCGUUAAGGAACUCGGCAAAAUGACCCCGUAACUUCGGGAGAAGGGGUGCUCUGGUAGGGUGCAAGCCCGAGAGAGCCGCAGUGAAUAGGCCCAGGCGACUGUUUAGCAAAAACACAGGUCUCUGCGAAACCGUAAGGUGAAGUAUAGGGGCUGACACCUGCCCGGUGCUGGAAGGUUAAGAGGAGUGCUUAGCGCAAGCGAAGGUACGAAUUGAAGCCCCAGUAAACGGCGGCCGUAACUAUAACGGUCCUAAGGUAGCGAAAUUCCUUGUCGGGUAAGUUCCGACCCGCACGAAAGGUGUAACGAUCUGGGCACUGUCUCAACGAGAGACUCGGUGAAAUUAUAGUACCUGUGAAGAUGCAGGUUACCCGCGACAGGACGGAAAGACCCCGUGGAGCUUUACUGUAGCCUGAUAUUGAAUUUUGGCACAGCUUGUACAGGAUAGGUAGGAGCCUUGGAAAUCGGAGCGCCAGCUUCGAUGGAGGCAUUGGUGGGAUACUACCCUGGCUGUGUUGAACUUCUAACCCUCACCCGUGAUCCGGGUGGGAGACAGUGUCAGGCGGGCAGUUUGACUGGGGCGGUCGCCUCCUAAAGAGUAACGGAGGCGCCCAAAGGUUCCCUCAGAAUGGUUGGAAAUCAUUCGAAGAGUGUAAAGGCAUAAGGGAGCUUGACUGCGAGACCUACAAGUCGAGCAGGGUCGAAAGACGGGCUUAGUGAUCCGGUGGUUCCGCAUGGAAGGGCCAUCGCUCAACGGAUAAAAGCUACCCCGGGGAUAACAGGCUUAUCUCCCCCAAGAGUCCACAUCGACGGGGAGGUUUGGCACCUCGAUGUCGGCUCAUCGCAUCCUGGGGCUGUAGUCGGUCCCAAGGGUUGGGCUGUUCGCCCAUUAAAGCGGUACGCGAGCUGGGUUCAGAACGUCGUGAGACAGUUCGGUCCCUAUCCGUCGUGGGCGCAGGAAAUUUGAGAGGAGCUGUCCUUAGUACGAGAGGACCGGGAUGGACGCACCGCUGGUGUACCAGUUGUCAAGCCAUUGGCAUCGCUGGGUAGCUAUGUGCGGACGGGAUAAGUGCUGAAAGCAUCUAAGCAUGAAGCCCCCCUCAAGAUGAGAUUUCCCACACGCAAGUGGUAAGAUCCCUGAAAGAUGAUCAGGUAGAUAGGUUCGAGGUGGAAGCAUAGCGAUAUGUG